AUUGAACGCUGGCGGCAUGCUUUACACAUGCAAGUCGAACGGCAGCGCGGGCUUCGGCCUGGCGGCGAGUGGCGAACGGGUGAGUAAUGCAUCGGAACGUGCCCAGUAGUGGGGGAUAGCGCGGCGAAAGCCGGAUUAAUACCGCAUACGACCUGAGGGUGAAAGCGGGGGACCGAAAGGCCUCGCGCUAUUGGGGCGGCCGAUGUCGGAUUAGCUAGUUGGUGGGGUAAAGGCUUACCAAGGCGACGAUCCGUAGCUGGUCUGAGAGGACGACCAGCCACACUGGGACUGAGACACGGCCCAGACUCCUACGGGAGGCAGCAGUGGGGAAUUUUGGACAAUGGGGGCAACCCUGAUCCAGCCAUGCCGCGUGCGGGAAGAAGGCCUUCGGGUUGUAAAGCGCUUUUGUUCGGGAAGAAAUCCUCUGGGCUAAUACCCCGGGGGGAUGACGGUACCGGAAGAAUAAGCACCGGCUAACUACGUG
rnacentral:rRNA from 1 species